rnacentral:lncRNA from 1 species
UUUGGCAAUAUUGUUUACCAUGUCAAGCAAGAGCAGAAUAGGUAAGGUCAUCCCUGGGCACUUCAUGGCCAAGGUAAAGAAAAGAAUUUGUCCGGAAAAAAACCUCUCUAUAAGAGAAAGUAGGGGCAUUAAGGAAAUUCACUCCAUCUAAUUAAUAAAAGUCCCAUCCCACCAUCUCCGCCUUCAAGUGAGUACCCAAGGAGCAAUCGCAACAUCACGGCACAGCAACCAUUCAACCCCCUCCCUCCUUUUCUCUCUCUACCACCCAAGAGGGGAGAAGAAACCGAGAGGAGAAAAUUAAAAGAAUCUCCACCCUCGAAGAAGUCCAUCUCCAAUCCCCCUAUCUUUCUUCCGGAUGGCCCAGCUGGAUCAGGAGUAAUGUGAGGGAAGGAAAACCAAGACCAAAACCAAAAAAGAGAAGGGAUGAAAGAUAAGAGUGGCUUCAGGCGUGUAUCAAGCCAACCAAAUGGGU